UACGUAGGGACCGAGCGUUGUUCGGAAUUACUGGGCGUAAAGGGCUCGUAGGUGGCCAACUAAGUCAGACGUGAAAUCCCUCGGCUUAACCGGGGAACUGCGUCUGAUACUGGAUGGCUAGAGGUUGGGAGAGGGAUGCGGAAUUCCAGGUGUAGCGGUGAAAUGCGUAGAUAUCUGGAGGAACACCGGUGGCGAAGGCGGCAUCCUGGACCAAUUCUGACGCUGAGGAGCGAAAGCCAGGGGAGCAAACGGG
rnacentral:rRNA from 1 species